GCCCCGCAGCUGAAGCCGGCCCCACUGCCCCUGGGAAAGUGGAGAAUUCAUCAGCUGCCUGCACCUCCAGCUUGUGUGUCUCCAGAGGGGAGCAGGGCCCGAGGGGCCACUGCUUUUCCCCUCCCAAAUCACAGCCCAGGAGGCUGUAGCCGUAAGAAGAGCCCCUGAUGGCCGCAUGCAGCCACAGUGGACACAUCUGAGAAACACUGCUCCAACAGCACCCAUUUUGUUUAAGGGAAAAUGAUCUAAAAUUGUAUUCAAGAUACAAUUAGAUAUUGAAACAAACUUCAAACAAAAUGGUGAAAUUAUUUUGAUAUAGCUCUUUAGAUCACCACCAUGACAGAAUGAACACGUUAUUUAGCAGUUUAAGAUAAAAACAAGUUUAAAAAACAGUAAUGAAAAAUAUUUUUCUCCUAACAUUCUUAUGCAUAUCUUCAAAGUACAGCCUCUGAAAGUGCUGACAAUCCAGAAAGGCAAUCACACAGAAAUUGCUGAAAGUCCACUUUCAAAGAUUUUUAGUUUUAACAGUUCAUAAAUAUGACAAAUGAUUGGCCAAUUAUUACCUGUAUUCCUUUUUCUGAUUAUUGAAGAAGUCUGUAUUUAAAUAAAAGCUUUGCCUCUGGUCUAACACAGCAAUGAAGUCAUAAUCCCAUGUUUAUCAGUCUGUUGCUAUGGAAAUAUAUACACAUCAAAUUCAGCACAAUGACUUCAUAUCACAUCAAGUAGGAAGAAAAGAGUAAUUGCAAAGCAAGCCAUUGAUUUAGGGGAUUAGAAAUAGGAGGGGAAACAAGCUCCAGUUCCAUAGCUCAGCCAGCCAAGGAGAGUAACUGUCUGUUUGAUGAUCUAUGUGAAAUGAGUUGGUAGUUUCAAUCCAGUUCCUUGUGGAGUCAUCCACAUCACAGACUAUCACAACUGCAGAGACAGUCUUGUUGGCAGUUUCAAAAGAGAUCAAUCACUGAGUGGCCAUGACACUUGGACCUCCUUCUUGCCCCUAGAGGAGGAUCCUCCUAAUGAGGGGAGGUCAAUGAGUGAGAUGACAAUGGUGCAUUUGCAGUACCAUUGUCCGUGCUGUCUUUGUGAUUCCAGGACCUUACUCUCCAGAGCUAUCUGUCCAACAUUUUUCCAGGACAAAUAGACUAGCACCUUUUGUGAGCAACACAUACUUAAGUUAAUCAUGAAUAUUUUGAUAAUUGGCUAACAUGACAAGGAAAGCUAUGACAAAAUGAAAGAGAGCACUCACAAUAUGGAUGAUCAACUCUCUUCUACUGUCUACCAGACUGGCAGCUGGAUGAGAAUUGGCUACCUGAUGCUCAGCCUGGAGGGAAACUGCGGCAGACUGAGAGAUUUAGUUACUGAGGAAACUGAAGUAUCAGAAGAUUCCAGAGAUACCCUUAACCUAAGCCAGUACAAGAUCUUCAACUAGAAUUUACUCUUCUUGGGCUCCUUUGCACGGGAAAGUGAUAUUUUAUUUAAAAACCCACAAUAUUAAACACAACUUAGCACUCAGUGUAGAUAAAAACUGGCAUUUAUUAUUGUGUCUGCUGCUCCUGAUUGACAACCAGCUGACAACAUUAAACACAGUCCUUAUCUACAAACACGUUAACAUUUUUUCACACAAUGUCAUCUUCCAGUGUAGAGAAACCAUUUUAGUCAUCAAAAAUUUAAUCUUUAUUUUCAACAUAUUCAGGACACAAAGUAAGACUAUUAAUUAUCUCAAGCUUGCCAAGGUAAAAAGGACAAAAUAAUUUUAAGGAUGUUCUGGGGGGUGAGUGGGGUGAUGUUUUCAGAAACCUUUUAACACUAACAACUAUGCUGUUUUUGUUUAAGUGAAAGAAGUCAGGGAGAAUGUCCAUUUAUGUUGUGUAUUUCAGGCUAUGUUAAUUCAAUUAAUAUUUUAAAAAGAGUUUCCAAAUAAAAUAUGCAAAGAAUUAACAAUUUUUGUAUGUAUUAUACAAGACUAAACUUAUUGGGGGGAAAAUAUUGACAGUUCAGUCCAAGGUCAUAUUUCAAAGGAGGAG